rnacentral:rRNA from 1 species
CCUACGGGAGGCAGCAGUGAGGAAUAUUGGUCAAUGGACGAGAGUCUGAACCAGCCAAGUAGCGUGAAUGAUGACUGCCCUAUGGGUUGUAAACUUCUUUUAUAUGGGAAUAAAACGUUCCACGUGUGGGAUUUUGUAUGUACCAUAUGAAUAAGGAUCGGCUAACUCCGUGCCAGCAGCCGCGGUAAUACGGAGGAUCCGAGCGUUAUCCGGAUUUAUUGGGUUUAAAGGGAGCGUAGGUGGAUUGUUAAGUCAGUUGUGAAAGUUUGCGGCUCAACCGUAAAAUUGCAGUUGAAACUGGCAGUCUUGAGUACAGUAGAGGUGAGCGGAAUUCGUGGUGUAGCGGUGAAAUGCUUAGAUAUCACGAAGAACUCCGAUUGCGAAGGCAGUUCACUGGACUGCAACUGACACUGAGGCUCGAAAGUGUGGGUAUCAAACAGGAUUAGAUACCCCAGUAGUC